rnacentral:SRP_RNA from 2 species
UGACAGUGCUGCUCAACACGUGCAAUCAGCUCGAGCAUGGCCUUAGUUGUUUCCAGGCAGCUCGGGUGGUUUCAAAUCUCGCUGAUAAUGGUGUACAUAUUGCUCGGGGAGAGCGCGAUGGGGCGCCG